AGACUCACCAGCGUGCGGCUACGCAGAGACCUGAUAGCGCGCAGUAGAGCUCACCUUACCGCCGCCCUCCCCAGGAGCAUAACCAAGGAACUGAAUACUGAUAAAGCUGGCGGAGCCUAUCAAUGCUGCUGCUGUGGAGAAGCUGAGUCCAGAUGUCGCAUCUGAGGCUGUGAAGGAUUUUGGGAAUCUGAUAGAGAAUGCUGCUGAUACUGAUGACAUUGCCGCCGCCGCUGCACCUCUUAUGACUGGUAGUCCAACUGCUGUUGAAGACUUUGAUGGCGAUGUUCUUGAGAGGACUCCAGCUGCUAUGCAGAAGGUGAUCAGGGCUUGGGUAGCCUGGCUCAGAAUGCUGCUGGUGUAGAUGAUAAUUUGACUGAAGAUAAGACUAUCGAGAAACCGUGAGUUCAGCUGAUGUUGGAGAGAUUGGUGGUGCUGCUACUAUGGAGAGGAUGACUCCUGAUGUCUCAUCCGAGAUUGUCGAGGGCUUGGAGAGUUUGACGCAGAAUGCUGCUGCUAUUGAUGAUAUCGUUUCUUCUGCAGAUCUUGUGACUAAGGUUGACACAGUAAACAAGGAUACCUUGCCACUAUUGAGUAGUCACAGCAUCCUUCUAAGAAAAUCAAGAGGGAACAGCAGUAGAUCGUGGUGGGGGAGACUUCUUCAAGAGAAAGAGGAUUUUGGGGUAUUGAAACGCCUUCAGUGCUGAUUGAUCUGUUCUUCAACUUGAGUGUCCUGACACCUGAAGACCAGUAGUAUCUGUGUGUGUAGAAGCUUUGGUGGUUCAGUUUCCCCUAACUGCACCCACCGAAAGGGAACUGGCUAGAAUGCAGCAUACAAUCAGAAAGGCAUUGUGCGGUGGUUGAAAACUUGCUGAGACUUCCCAUUCCUAUACUACACGCUGCAACGUGAUAGUUCAUCUACGGCUGACAUACCAUGUAUAUAUGGCAGUUGGGUAAGUUGGAUAGGUCUAGUUGUCAAAACAGCAAACCUGCAAAAUAAAUUGUACUAAUAAGGCAUCCUGGCUAGCGUGGAGGAGGAUACAUACUCUUAUAUUGCAAAGUUCUAGUUGAGAUA